AACUGUCACAUGUAAAAUUUCGACGCCUUCGGUUGUUCCCGCUCGAAUGUUGGAAUAGAGUUAAUAUACAUCUAGAUAUAAGUGUUUAAUAUGCUUAUCAACUAUCCAAGUGUCAUGGUCUCGUUAUAAACAAGUAUACGGCUCAAGACCACAGUUAUCUGCCCCCCGUUGACCAAGAUCCGGAUGUGAAUACAGAAACAAAGAGUGCUUGUGUUCAAGUAUCAAUAUUUUAUUAAAAUUGAAUGAAAAAGAAGCAAAAAAUGUUCUUUUUGCAGAGAACUUGACUGAAUUUGACACUCUAUUGCAGAAAUUGAUAGUUUUCAAUGUAAAUAUUGGAAAAAUCAUAGCUUGUGGAAGUCUGAAAAUUAGUUGUUUGUAGCCGAUUGACUCCCUGGCGUAAGGGUUAUGUAUUUGAACUCAAUUUUGACAGUCGGGUCAAUGGUCAACAUGGUGUUUUCUUGUGAUUAUAUUUUGUGUCUUGAAUUGUUCUAGAGAUGCCAUGUCCUUGUUUUUCAAUUGGGGUGUGUAUAAAGUCAAAAGCCAGGUUAGUGUCUAUAUGAAACAUAUAGUAAAAAUAACUGUGGUCUCACGCCUGAUAUAGAGGAAGCUUUUGGAGGGGUGGCCUAUUUUAAAUUGUUAUAAAUUCUUAAUUUAUACAGCUAUCUGGUUGAAAUUUGGCCAGUUGACAGUGCUUAGCCAUAGAAUAUUGGUGUUUGAGUAUGAAAUGUGAAAAUCUUAUAUUACAUAAUAUAAAUUAAUAAUAUAUAAUUUUCUUAUAUAUUUUUGACAUUUAAAAAAAAAACUACUUUCACUUUCAAUUUAAUGUUUGGAAAUAGUUCCAAAUGAUGGUAACUAAUGAAUGAAAGCCUCACUUUCAAUUCCAAAGUAUAAAUGGAGGGAUUUUUUUAACAUAGGAAGCAGACCCAGGAGGAACUGUCUGUUGAAGACCCCCCCCCCCACCAAGCUGCCCACCAGAGGCCAAGCUGUACUUGGUGUUUGCCAACAUGCUGUAAUUUGUAAGUACUUCAAGAUAAUAUAUUAGAAAAUGGUAUCCAAACUGAAGUACAAAGUGAGACAGUUUGGUCAUAAAAGCCCAUUGAGACUGUUCCAUUCCUAAAUGAAUUUCUUUCAUGUUGUCAAUCAUUUCUGAUGUGGCUUUGAUAAUAAUAUUAUUUUCUAAUGAAACUGCUGACUUGUAUCAGUCUUUUGUCUGUAUUGUGCAUCUAUUCACACAUUUUGUUUGCUCUUUUAAGCAAACAUUACAAUAAUUGCAAAUUCUAUAAGCAAUUAAACAAAACUUACUGCACAUAGGAUGCAGAAUGAUGUUUUAUUUAGUGUGCAUAUGAUUUUCAGCUUAUGGACAAGAAAACAUAUACUUUAACAAUCACAGCAACACAAUGAGAUCCCAAUUUUAAAGAAAUAAUGCCACCUUUCAUUAAUUCAUUAAUUCAUUCUAUCAAUCAUUCAUAUAUAUAUUCAUUAAUUCAUUCAUUUAUUCAAUUUAUUCAUUGAAAAACUUGACAUUUCUCAAGGCAAAAUAAAUAAAAAGUGAGCAGCUUUCAUAAAGAAUAGAGCCUUUUCCCUUAAUGCAUUAAAAAACACAACCUUAAUACAGUAUAAAUGUUUUAAAAACCCUAAUUUAUUGCUUAUUUUAAUAGCCAGCCUGGUUGCUGUAGCCACAGAGGAAUUUUCAAGGACAAGAACCAGUGCUGGUAAAACUGUGGUCUCUGUGGUUUUCCAUACCGGCUCUCGGCAAGGAUUUUCAAGAAAGGAAUACCAUCUCCAAAUCAUGAUGUGUCAAUAAGCUCCAGUUAGCUGCGGCCUUUUCCCCAGGCGGUAGUCCUGCAAUCUGAAUCCAGGAGAUGCAGCUCUGAAUCCAAUAUUUCAGAAGAAUGAAGAUGAAGCAGACCCAGGAGGAACUGUCUGUUGAAGACCCC